rnacentral:rRNA from 1 species
CGGCAACAGCUCAAAUUUGAAAUCUGGCUUCGGCCCGAGUUGUAAUUUGCAGAGGAUGCUUCUGGCGCGGUGCCUCCUGAGUCCACUGGAACGUGGCGCCACAGAGGGUGAGAGCCCCGUAUAGUUGGCCACCAAGCCUGUGUGAAGCUCCUUCGAC